ACCCUUCUUAUGUGCGUCCCUCCAGACGCUGCUCGGUGGAAGAGGACAGCCUUCCCCGAAUAGAGGAGAAUGGGUCAAGGGUAUACGAGUAGCUGCGCUCCCCUGCUAGAACCUCCAAACAAGCUCUCUCAUUUUCUUUUUUAAAGUUGCUUUUUACUUUUCAGAUUUGAUUGUUUAAAGUUAUCUGCCUCU
rnacentral:snRNA from 1 species